GAUCCUGGCUCAGAUUGAACGCUGGCGGAAUGCUUUACACAUGCAAGUCGAACGGUAGAGGGGGCAACCCCUUGAGAGUGGCGAACGGGUGAGUAAUAUAUCGGAACGUGCCCAGUCGUGGGGGAUAACGUAGUGAAAAUUACGCUAAUACCGCAUACGAUCUAAGGAUGAAAGGCGGGGGAUCGCAAGACCUCGCGCGAUUGGAGCGGCCGAUAUCAGAUUAGGUAGUUGGGUAGGGUAAAGGCCCUACCAAGCCAACGAUCUGUAGCUGGUCUGAGAGGACGACCAGCCACACUGGAACUGAGACACGGUCCAGACUCCUACGGGAGGCAGCAGUGAGGAAUAUUGGUCAAUGGGUGCAAGCCUGAACCAGCCAUCCCGCGUGAAGGACGACUGCCCUAUGGGUUGUAAACUUCUUUUGUAUAGGGAUAAACCUACCCUCGUGAGGGUAGCUGAAGGUACUAUACGAAUAAGCACCGGCUAACUCCGUG
rnacentral:rRNA from 1 species